CUUAUAGUAAGUCGGAGGUUUACGGUAUUUAUUUAAAGAGUCUGAGUAAGGGACCAUGAUUGUAAAAAUACAUUGCGUCUUGUUCCGCAUUAGUUUAGGGGCAUUCAAAAUAUGCAUUGCCCACAUAACGCAAAAUUCCCAUUGGUUGAUAUUGACAUGCCUAUCAAUCAAAUCUGAUAUGUAGUAAUUAUGCUAUAAAUAAUUUCCAGGCUUGAUGUUGAUUUUAUAAAUAAAAAUGACAGGCUAAGGCUUAAAUGAGCAGUUUCUAUUGGGUAGAGUUAAUUG